UAAUUGUAUAGAUCAGCCGAUGAGAAA
rnacentral:misc_RNA from 1 species